rnacentral:lncRNA from 1 species
UGGUGGCUGGGGUUCAGUCUGCCGCUGCAAAUACCAAAAGCUGUCCUCAUUGAGUCAUCCCUCCCAGAGCAGGAAGAGCAGAGGUUCUGGGAAACAACCCCAAGGAGAGAGACAGGGCAUUUAUAAAACAGCAUGUAAGCAUCUCUGCAGUUGCUGUCCCCAGAGCCCACUUCCUGGAUAUUGCCAGCUGCCUGGACCAACCUUUCCGAAAGAUCAGCCAGGUCACAGUGAGGGUCAAAGGUACCAGCGAAGAGGGCAAGAACACAGCACUACUUCCUUGGAUACUGUUUCCCUCCUCAGAGGGGUUUUCUGAGCUGCCCUGGGUCCUGUGAGGAAGAUCUCCCCUUCCUGUAAAGACACCAGUCCUACUGGAUCAGGGCCCACCCGUGUGACUUCACUUUUACUUGAGUACCUCUCACAGACCCUAACUCCAAAUCAGGUCACUUGCUGAGGUACUGCAUGUGAAGACUUUGACAUUUGAAUUUUGAGGGGGCCACCGUUUAACCUGAACCACCAAGGACAGAGCCAAAGACCCUGGGUGACAGGCCCAGAACAGGACCUGGUGGAGGCUCUUCUUUAGGGGAGAGAGGGAAAUGGGAGCCACCACUGGCAGAGCCUGAAGGCAGGGCAGCCAGAAAGAAGCUGUGGGAGUCCCCACCAUGGAAGACCCUGCCGAGCAUCCUGUGUCUCCUGAAGCAGACCCUGACAUGAGGACUGGGGGCACGUGUUUAUUAAGGGCGAUCCCCGGAAGGAGGAGAUAACCAGGCAGAAGUCCUAGCAGAGUAUGCCCACGCUGGUUAGUGCUGCUGCAAAGAUGAGCCGAAGACCAUGAGAGACCUCCAGGUGGUCCUUCUGGGGAGAAGAAAUGGGUUUUGGCCCCAAAUCCUUCUGCUGCAUUUUUCCCCUAUCCCUGGGAAGCCAUGAGACCUCAAACCUGUGUUCCCAAGGAGGCGAGCUGCUGUUCCCAGGUGAUGAUAUGAUGUGCUUGGGGAAAGUAAGUGGCUGCCAGACAUGGCUGAGAGCUGUUGUCACUGCCGUCAAGUGCAUGUCUCCAAGCCAUAUCACACGGCGUCCCUCGAUGUGAGGCCACAUGGCAAGUGGGCCGUGGAUCUCCCUCUGCCCUUUGCAAGCACGUAAGACAGCAGAUUUUGCAGAUACCUUGUGGCGCAGGGGAAUUUCCUUUGGCCAGGUCUGAAGAAAUAAAGCAGCAGGCACCGAGAACAAAGCCAAGGCUUUCAAAAGACAAGGAGCCAAAAAACUUACUCAAAAUAAAAGUAGUUUUAAAAUGUC